rnacentral:lncRNA from 1 species
CUGUGACCUUGGCAAUUUUGUAAAACCCUCUGAGCCUAGCUUUCUCACAUGUAAAGUGAUGAUAAUGGGUAAUUCCCAUGGCCGUUGUGAGAUUAAAUUAAAAGGGUUAAAUUUUAUUUAUAAAGCACCUAGCAUAUAUUAGACACUCAAUAUUGGGUCACAUCUCUGCAAAUCUGAUGGGAAAUGUCUUCCCUAAGGGAAGAUUUUCUGUUUCUGGAAUUUCACUCCCUAGAACUUUCCAUGCUUGAGUCAUGCAUUAGCUUUUGACAAGUUAUUUUAUUUAACUCUCCCUCUUGGCAAUCGCUACCUGUGAUGACACACAAAGCGGGAAACUACAUCCCAGCAGCUACAAAUAAUAGCAAGCAAUCUUUUGAACUAUUUGCCUUGAGGAAAGGCUAAAAAGUUAUUGAGUCGUGAGUGCAGUUUGCCACGUCACGAUGUAUUUCCCACUGUUUUCUUAGGCUAUUUUCUUUGCCUCCUUUAAGAUAUUUUCUGGAAACUUUUGCUGAACGGUAGCCAAUUGUGAGCGAAAGCUUCUGUAACCAUUCUCUUGCUGAAAGUAACUCGGAGAUCUCAUUUUGCCACAUGGAAGACAGCAGACUCUCUACUUCUCUUCCCUUAGGUCACAAUGGCCUAUAGGAUAUUGCUUUUAGAAGCAAUGCUAUAAGGAACCCUUUUUCUUGCACCAGUAGGAGGUGGAGUCUUGCUCUGUCGCCCAGGCUGGAGUGCAGUGGAGCGUGAUCUUGGCUCACUGCAAGCUCCGCCUCCUGGUUCACGCCAUUCUCCUGCCUCAGCCUGCGGAGUAGCUGGAACUACAGGAAGAAAAAUGGAACUAAAAAGGGAAAACAAUAGCAACAAAGAUCAAAAUAAAUAACAAGGAAGCGGAGAGAAGAAAGAACAUGGUGAAGAGAGUGAAACGCAUUGUCAUUUGGGGUGAAUUGCAGAAAGAAAUAAAUUAUUGUUCUUAUAUAUAAGUGA